GAAAGGCGCGCGAUACAGGGUGACAGCCCCGUACACAAAAAUGCACAUGCUGUGAGCUCGAUGAGUAGGGCGGGACACGUGGUAUCCUGUCUGAAUAUGGGGGGACCAUCCUCCAAGGCUAAAUACUCCUGACUGACCGAUAGUGAACCAGUACCGUGAGGGAAAGGCGAAAAGAACCCCGGCGAGGGGAGUGAAAAAGAACCUGAAACCGUGUACGUACAAGCAGUGGGAGCCUCUUUAUGGGGUGACUGCGUACCUUUUGUAUAAUGGGUCAGCGACUUAUAUUCUGUAGCAAGGUUAACCGAAUAGGGGAGCCGAAGGGAAACCGAGUCUUAACUGGGCGUUAAGUUGCAGGGUAUAGACCCGAAACCCGGUGAUCUAGCCAUGGGCAGGUUGAAGGUUGGGUAACACUAACUGGAGGACCGAACCGACUAAUGUUGAAAAAUUAGCGGAUGACUUGUGGCUGGGGGUGAAAGGCCAAUCAAACCGGGAGAUAGCUGGUUCUCCCCGAAAGCUAUUUAGGUAGCGCCUCGUGAAUUCAUCUCCGGGGGUAGAGCACUGUUUCGGCAAGGGGGUCAUCCCGACUUACCAACCCGAUGCAAACUGCGAAUACCGGAGAAUGUUAUCACGGGAGACACACGGCGGGUGCUAACGUCCGUCGUGAAGAGGGAAACAACCCAGACCGCCAGCUAAGGUCCCAAAGUCAUGGUUAAGUGGGAAACGAUGUGGGAAGGCCCAGACAGCCAGGAUGUUGGCUUAGAAGCAGCCAUCAUUUAAAGAAAGCGUAAUAGCUCACUGGUCGAGUCGGCCUGCGCGGAAGAUGUAACGGGGCUAAACCAUGCACCGAAGCUGCGGCAGCGACACUAUGUGUUGUUGGGUAGGGGAGCGUUCUGUAAGCCUGCGAAGGUGUACUGUGAGGUAUGCUGGAGGUAUCAGAAGUGCGAAUGCUGACAUAAGUAACGAUAAAGCGG
rnacentral:rRNA from 1 species